AUGGUAAAUAACCUUCUUCUUUCACAUCUUUCCACAGAGGGGAACAUCCGGUUGUGUGUCUCUGUUAGGGACUACUACUGUUACCGGCUACAGAUGCGCCCUGUGAUAUUCAACCCCAUACUUCACGGAGCACGCCUGUUCCAGCAGUGGGGUGUCGACAUGUUCAUCAAGAUUGAGGGUUGUAGGCUGAAGUGGAUCAGGGACCACCAAACGCAGAUACAUGCUGAUCUAUACCAAGGCCUUGUGGAUAGCAUCGCAGUUGGGGAGAUGCAAGCGAGCGUUGUUGGCAAGAGGAUCGUGCUCCUAGGGACACAUCAGGGACUAGAUCCUUAG
rnacentral:rRNA from 1 species